rnacentral:snoRNA from 1 species
CCCCUCUCAGGGUCGCACCUGGAGAGUUUCCAGUACUUUACCAGUCACGACUACUAGAGGGAGAGUCAAGCAGAAGCAUGCCCAUUCCAUUCCUAGCUUGGGCAAUGGCUAGUGAGUGGAAGGCAAACUGCUGCAAGU